rnacentral:pre_miRNA from 14 species
GAAGACUACUAACCUGUGUCACAUACCAUAUGGAAGACUAGUGAUUUUGUUGUUGUCACCUGUUCCAAACAAAAAAUCACAGUCUGCCAUUAUGGUGUUUGAAACAUUCAUCGUAUGCAUC